CGAAAUCAUGACAACUCUAACAAGCCGUUUCAGUCCCGAGAGCCAUCGGAAAUAGCGGAAACAUUUCGAUUUCACAACCGCACGCAAGGUUCCCUCACAGUCGCCCAGCCGUGCUGAAGAAGUGGGUGCAGAAGAUGCAUCGCAAAAAUUGGGUCCCAUCUAAAUAUUCGGUGCUCUGCAGCAGACACUUUGAGGAGGCCUGUUUCGAUCGUACAGGGCAAACUGUGCGACUCAAGAGUGAUGCUGUGCCUACAAAGUUUGACUUUUCACAGCACCUCCUGAAAAGGGUACAGCCAAGAAAACCACCUCCAACAAAACAUAACAUAGAGGUAGAGCAGGA